GCGGCUACUGCUAUCAGGUUUCGACUAAGCCAUGCGAGUCAAGGGGUCGUAAGACACCGGCGUACUGCUCAGUAACACGCGGACAAUCUACCCCCAGGUGGAGGAUAACCUCGGGAAACUGAGGCUAAUACCCCAUAGUUGUCAUGUGCUGGAAUGCUUUGACGAUGAAAGAAUUUCGCCUGAGGAUGAGUCUGCGGCCUAUCAGGUAGUAUGUGGUGUAAAGGACCACAUAGCCUAAGACGGGUACGGGCCUUGAAAGAGGGAGCCCGGAGAUGGACUCUGAGACACUAGUCCAGGCCCUACGGGGCGCAGCAGGCGCGAAAACUGUGCAAUGCGCGCAAGCGCGACACGGGAAGCCUGAGUGCCUUAACUAUGUUAAGGCUUUUCUUGAUCCUAAAAAGCUCAAGGAAUAAGAGCUGGGUAAGACGGGUGCCAGCCGCCGCGGUAACACCCGCGGCUCGACUGGUAAUCACUUUUAUUGAGCCUAAAGCGUUUGUAGCCGGAUUUGUAAAUCUCUAGGAAAAUACUUCUGCUUAACUGAAGAAAUUUUGGAGAGACUGCAAAUCUAGGGACCGGGUGAGGUUGAAUGUACUUCUGGGGUAGGGGUAAAAUCCUGUAAUCCUGGAAGGACGACCGGUGGCGAAGGCGUUCAACUAGAACGGAUCCGACGGUGAGGAACGAAGGCUAGGGGAGCAAACCGGAUUAGAUACCCGGGUAGUCCUAGCUGUAAACACUGCCCACUUGGUGUUGCAUCUCCGGUAAGGGGGUGCAGUGCCGUAGCGAAGGUGUUAAGUGGGCCGCUUGGGGAGUAUGGUCGCAAGGCUGAAACUUAA
rnacentral:rRNA from 1 species